UUGGCUCAGGAUGAACGCUGGCGGCGUGCUUAACACAUGCAAGUCGAACGAGAAUCAUAUGAAGGAGAUUUCGGUCAACGGAAUAUGAGGACAGUGGCGGACGGGUGAGUAACGCGUGAGGAACCUGCCUUUCAGAGGGGGACAACAGUUGGAAACGACUGCUAAUACCGCAUAAUGCAUAGGUAUCGCAUGGUACCAAUGCCAAAGAUUUAUCGCUGAAAGAUGGCCUCGCGUCUGAUUAGCUAGUUGGUGAGGUAACGGCCCACCAAGGCGACGAUCAGUAGCCGGACUGAGAGGUUGAACGGCCACAUUGGGACUGAGAUACGGCCCAGACUCCUACGGGAGGCAGCAGUGGGGAAUA
rnacentral:rRNA from 1 species